rnacentral:rRNA from 1 species
CAUGGCCUUUUGUUAAUAAAAUUUAAGGUCUAACCUGCCCAAUGAUGAUUUUUAUUUAAUGGCCGCGGUAUUUUGACCGUGCAAAGGUAGCAUAAUCAUUAGUUUUUUAAUUGAAAGCUGGAAUGAAGGGUUGAAUGAGAAAAUAACUGUCUUUAUAAUAUUUAAUUAUAAUUUUAUUUUUAAGUUAAAAAGCUUAAAUUAAAUUUAUAGACGAGAAGACCCUUUAGAGUUUUAUAAAAAAUAAUAUAAAAUUUUUUAGUAAUAAUUUAAUUUUAUUAAAUUUUUUAUUUGAUUGGGGUGAUUAAAAAAUUUAAAUAACUUUUUUUUAUAUAAAACAUUAAUAUAUGAAUAAUUGAUCCAUUUUUUAUGAUUAUAAGAUUAAAUUACCUAAGGGAUAACAGCGUUAUUUUUUUUGAGAGUUCUAAUCGAAAAAAAAGUUUGCGACCUCGAUGUUGGAUUAAAAUUAAAUUAUGGUGUAGAGGCUAUAACCUUA